rnacentral:rRNA from 1 species
CCUACGUGUGGCAGCAGUGAGGAAUAUUGGGCAAUGGGCGCAAGCCUGACCCAGCAACGCCGCGUGAAGGAAGAAGGCUUUCGGGUUGUAAACUUCUUUUAAGGGGGAAGAGCAGAAGACGGUACCCCUGGAAUAAGCCACGGCUAACGACGGGCCAGCAGCCGCGGUAAUACGUAGGUGGCAAGCGUUGUCCGGAGUUACUGGGUGUAAAGGGCGUGCAGCAGGAGAGACACGUCAGAUUUGAAAUCCACGGGCUCAACCCGUGAACUGCAUUUGAAACUGUUUCCCUUGAGUGUCGGAGAGUUAAUCGGAAUUCCUUGUGUAGCGGUGACAUGCGUAGAGAUCACGAGGAAUACUCAUUGCGACUGCGACCUGCUAGAACAUAACUGACGCUGAUGCGCG